rnacentral:rRNA from 1 species
UGCCCUAGUAACGGCGAGUGAAGCGGCAACAGCUCAAAUUUGAAAUCUGGCCUCGGCCCGAGUUGUAAUUUGCAGAGGAUGCUUCUGGCGCGGUGCCUUCCGAGUUCCCUGGAACGGGACGCCACAGAGGGUGAGAGCCCCGUAUGGUCGGACACCAAGCCUGUGUGAAGCUCCUUCGACGAGUCGAGUAGUUUGGGAAUGCUGCUCUAAAUGGGAGGUAAAUCUCUUCUAAAGCUAAAUACCGGCCAGAGACCGAUAGCGCACAAGUAGAGUGAUCGAAAGAUGAAAAGCACCUUGAAAAGGGGGUUAAAUAGUACGUGAAAUUGUUGAAAGGGAAGCACUUAUGACCAGACUUGGGCCGGGCGGCUCAUCAGGGGUUCUCCCCUGUGCACUCCGCCCGGCACAGGCCAGCAUCGGUUCUCGUGGGGGGAUAAGACCGUCAGGAACGUAGCACCCUCCGGGGUGUGUUAUAGCCUGGCGGACGAUACCCCCGUGGGGACCGAGGUCCGCGCUCCGCAAGGAUGCUGGCGUAAUGGUCAUCAGUGACCCGUCUUGAAACACGGACCAAGGAGUCGUCCAUUAGAGCGAGCGUUUGGGUGUAAAACCCGCACGCGUAAUGAAAGUGAACGCAGGUGAGAGCUUCGGCGCAUCAUCGACCGAUCCUGAUGUUCUCGGAAGGAUUUGAGUAAGAGUUUUAACGGACGGACCCGAAAGACAGUGAACUAUGCUUGAAUAGGGUGAAGCCAGAGGAAACUCUGGUGGAGGCUCGCAGCGGUUCUGACGUGCAAAUCGAUCGUCAAAUAUGAGCAUGGGGGCGAAAGACUAAUCGAACUGUCUAGUAGCUGGUUACCGCC